CCGUAACUUCGGAAGAAGGUAUGCCUUCGAUGGUGUAGGGAUUUACUCCCGAAGCUGUUGAAGGUCGCAGGUAAUCGGUGGCUGCGACUGUUUAUCAAAAACACAGGACUCUGCGAACACGCAAGUGGAAGUAUAGGGUCUGACGCCUGCCCGGUGCCGGAAGGUUAAUUGAUGGGGUUAGCCGCAAGGCGAAGCUCUUGAUCGAAGCCCCGGUAAACGGCGGCCGUAACAAUAACGGUCCUAAGGUAGCGAAAUUCCUUGUCGGGUAAGUUCCGACCUGCACGAAUGGCGUAACGCUGGCCACACUGUCUCGACCCGAGACUCAGUGAAGUUGAAAUCGCUGUGAAGAUGCGGCGUUCCCGCGGCAAGACGGAAAGACCCCGUGAACCUUCACUACAGCUUUACACUGAACUUUGAACCUUUCUGUGUAGGAUAGGUGGGAGGCUAUGAAACUUGGGCGCUAGCUCGAGUGGAGCCAACCUUGAAAUACCACCCUGGGAUGUUUGAAGUUCUAACCUUGGUCCGUAAUCCGGAUUGGGGACAGUGUAUGGUGGGUAGUUUGACUGGGGCGGUCUCCUCCCAAAGAGUAACGGAGGAGUGCAUGGUACGCUCAGCGCGGUCGGUCAUCGCGCUCUAGAGUGCAAAGGCAUAAGCGUGCUUAACUGAGAGACAGACACGUCGAACAGGUACGAAAGUAGGUCUUAGUGAUCCGGUGGUUCUGUAUGGAAGGGCCAUCGCUCAACGGAUAAAAGGUACUCCGGGGAUAACAGGCUUAUUCCUCCCAAGAGUCCACAUCGACGGAGGAGUUUGGCACCUCGAUGUCGGCUCAUCACAUCCUGGGGCUGUAGCAGGUCCCAAGGGUAUGGCUGUUCGCCAUUUAAAGUGGUACGCGAGCUGGGUUCAGAACGUCGUGAGACAGUUCGGUCCCUAUCUGCCGUGGGCGUUGGAAACUUGAGGGUGAGCUGUCCUUAGUACGAGAGGACCGGGAUGGACGUAUCUCUGGUGUUCCGGUUGUCACGCCAGUGGCACUGCCGGGUAGCUAUAUACGGACGGGAUAAGCGCUGAAAGCAUCUAAGCGCGAAGCCCCCCCCAAGAUUAGGUUUCCCUGGGAACUCGAUUCCCCUAAAGGGCCGUCGGAGACUACGACGUUGAUAGGCUGGGUGUGUAAGUGCAGCAAUGCAUUGAGCUAACCAGUACUAAUUGCCCGUGAGGCUUGAUCAA
rnacentral:rRNA from 1 species